rnacentral:rRNA from 1 species
AUUGAACGCUGGCGGCAUGCCUUACACAUGCAAGUCGAACGGCAGCGGACCUUCGGGUGCCGGCGAGUGGCGAACGGGUGAGUAAUAUAUCGGAACGUACCUUUCAGUGGGGGGAUAACGUAGCGAAAGUUACGCUAAUACCGCAUAUUCUGUGAGCAGGAAAGCAGGGGAUCGCAAGACCUUGCGCUGAUUGAGCGGCCGAUAUCAGAUUAGCUAGUUGGUGAGGUAAAGGCUCACCAAGGCGACGAUCUGUAGCGGGUCUGAGAGGAUGAUCCGCCACACUGGAACUGAGACACGGUCCAGACUCCUACGGGAGGCAGCAGUGGGGAAUUUUGGACAAUGGGCGCAAGCCUGAUCCAGCCAUGCCGCGUGAAGGAUUAAGGCCCUCUGGGUUGUAAACUUCUUUUCUUGGGUAAUAGAAACUCCGUUUCUACGGAGCUUGAAGGUACCAGAGGAAUAAGCACCGGCUAACUCCGUGCCAGCAGCCGCGGUAA